rnacentral:lncRNA from 1 species
CGAUGAACAAUACAAAUAAUGUUAAAAAUUGAGUCUAAUAAAAAAAAAACAUUUUGAAAGUAUAUUUCAACGUCUGGCUGCUAUAUUGCGUCAAUGCAGAAAAUUACAAACACUUUAUUGUAUACGUACGUUUGUUAUAAAUGCUUUUACAUGCAUUCUAUCAUGUUCAUAUAAUGUAAGAGUGAUUAGAUAGAGUCAUUUACAACACUGUCGUUGAUGUUGUUUUUUCAGUUGAGUGGUCUAUUUUAUAUUGUUCAUCAUGUCUUCCAUGCUUUUUGAAAGAUACAAGUAUCCUCACAGUUCGUCUAAAACGAUUGUCAAACACAGCAUAUAUGAACGGAUUUGCAACGUGGUUGAUGAUGUAAAAUCUUUCAGCAAUUUUCAAUAAUUCAAACUCGACCUCGCUGAUGUCAUUCUCAUUAAACCAAUGCUUAGCCACUUUAAGUAGAAAAAGAGGAAUAUAACUCAAUGCAAACACCACUGCAAUAGUGAAAGCAAUCUUUGUCAUUUUGUUCGAAAUAUUGCUUUCAGAUGUUUGUGUAUAUGGACGUAUUCUUUUUAGACGUUGCAAGUACAUUUUUCUUGCAAUCAGCGAAUAUAGUACAAAUAAGACUAUUGUAUAAAUCGAAAACAAACACACAUUGAAAGUACUGUAUACAAUCGAGAACUUUGAAGGAUGCGCAGCGGUUAUAGGACAGAUGUGAACUGUAAUGUUAUUUUCUACCUGUAACUCAUCAAUAUCAAUCAAUACUGCUUGAGGAAAUGAAAGCAGCAAUCCGAUAGCCACACAGGCUAUAAUAAAAUACCGGACGUUCCGAAGAGAAAUUUGCGCUCUAACAGGAUAACAGAUUUGCCUGAAUCUGUGAACUGAGAGUAACAUCACCAGGUGAGCAGAACACAUGAAUCCAAAUACAAUGAUUGCUGUGAAGAGUUUGCACACCCAUCGGCCCUCGAAUGUAUAAUAAUGAACAAUACGCGCGAUAUUAAAUGGUAUGCCAAUAAUGCAGAAUACCAGAUCCACAACUGCAAGAUUAGUAAUGAAUACUCUGAAGACACAUUUGGAAUAUUUGGUACCGUAUAUGAAUAAAACGGUUAAAUUUCCUGGUAUUCCAAAAAUCAACAAGACGCAGAGAAAUGAUAACGGUACCACGAAACGUUCAAUAUUUUUAUCGUUUAAAUUAUCAAGUGUAUUUGUUCUAUACAUUGUCAAAUCGGAAUAACUGCUACAUGUAGUAAUCUACACGAUCUGAAACAGUAAAAUAAGAUUGUAGUUAUUUUAUAAUAAAUACCUUGUAAUUUUAACAUUACAUGAACAUUAUGCAGAGGUGUUUUGUUUUUAACGAAAACAACUAUUUUUAUCUAAGCCUUUCCUGCUAUAAAUACUGAAGUAUUGUUGUACGACGUAUGAAGGAAAUGACAACUGUACAAUGUAUGGGGAAUCCAUUUCCCGUUCUUAAUAAUAGUCCUAUGUGUAUGGACAAUUUUAUAGCCUAUGAAAGAAGCGGUGAAAAACACUAACGUAACAUGAACACAGUUGUUUUAUGGAAACAAUGUAUAAACAGGACAAAAUAAUUACUGACCAAAAUUUCUCGAGUACAAUCUGAAAAUAAGAAUAACCAUUAAAACAGUGAAUAGAUCAGGUAUGUUUUCUUAACAGUGGCAAGUUUUUCAUGCAAAUAUAACGAAAUCAUAUGACUAAUCAAUGUCACAAGCUUUGGAAUAUAGAAUUAAUUAAUUUCAAACAUAAUCGUAUUCCUGUACUGACAGAACGUCGAUGUUCAACUUUCUUCUUGGAUAAUGAACUUCUUGGUUUCAGUAUUAUCUCAGAUCCACAAACGUUGUUUGAAGAUGUUUCCCAUUUCUUUUUUAAAUGUUCUAAGUAUGAUGUCAUGAUAUGUUAACUAUCUAAUAUAAUAAACCUGGUACUAGUGAAGUGUCAAAUAAAUUUUGAUUGCUGUCCCCUUUUUAUUGAUUUUUGUGCCUAUCUGGUCUGUUUGUUUUGUUCACGCAUUGUUGUCAAUUUAAUAGACUUGUAUGUGACUGUCAGACAAGUGGGAGGUUUUGAGCAACACAUAAGAAAAUGCAUUUACCAAUUGUUUCUGUUGAUGUGUUUGAUCUUUUGACUGCCAUUUGACAAAAGACUUUCCGUUUUGAAUUUUUCUCGAAGUAAGAUACAUUUUUUAUGUUUUUUGUUAUUUUACUUGUUACUUUUUGUUGGUUUAUUUUAUUUGUUUUUGUGUUUGUGUCACGUCAUUGAGUCGAAUCAUUGAUUUCCAAUACCAUAUAAAAGACGGAAAUACGUCUUUAUAAAAUAAUUGCUUCCAACGCGGUUGUUUACAAGGUUGUUAUUUUACUUUUGACGUCAGGUCAUACAUAUGUCCUUAACAUAUGAUUAAAAUAAAAUCAUUGUUUUUAAAUGUUUUUGAAUUUAUGAAAAGAAUACUGCUGCAAAAUCUUAGUUUUAUCAAUGGUGUUGUCAGUUAAUAUUCGACUUAUGAGUUUGAGAUUCCCUUUGGUAUUUUUCGCCACUCUAUUUAACGCGAUUUCUAAAGUGUAAAGUUGCAUGAUUAUAAUGUACAUAUUGUGUACUGUCGUGCACAUUUGAUGCGCUUUCACAUUAUCAUGCAUCAUCGUUUUUAUACAUCUGAAUGCAAUAUUUAUAUUGUAAUGUGUUUCUUUGUCAUUUCUAAACAUUAUAUCGAUUAGUUUAUUGUUGGUUGAUAAACGUCCAUUGACAAAUAUAUCAUGCAUGUUCAGGACAAAAACAAAAUAACAAUAAAUAAAAUAGGUAGCUCUUUUAGCUGUGACCGUCCGUGAUGAAGGUAGUGAAUAUUUGGACCGCCUCUGGAAAUAUGAUGAUAUAUUGAAUAAAAGUUUGGCCUUGCAACAUCAUACAUACGGACAAGUUGUAGAUCUGUUGCAAGGAUUCCUAACGUGCAGUAUGUUGGCUCACUCUACACGAAGUAUCUAAAUCGACGUACUGGGAUGAACUCAAGAUCUCUUGAAGGGUAAGCAGGUCCAGAUGUGGCAAAUGCGUGUUGUUCAUGCUAGUUCAAACUCGGUAAUCAGUUUUAUUCGGUAGGUCACAUUCGUGCUUGUUGUUACGACAUUAGGAAUAUAUCGCUAGUAUCUGUUAAACAGAUAUUCCAUAACGGCCAACUAACUCGUGAUGGCAUCUUUUACGGAGGAAUGAUAUCAACUUCACCGUUUUGAACUCUUGGUUCAAUAGCUUCCAUGUGUGCAGCAACCACUUAUCAAGGAAAUCAUAAAAGGGAGUAAUCGAAAAUCAAUUCGGAAAGUCCAUAAUCACAUGGCAAAAUCAAAUAGUCGUUAAUUGUGAGAUACAAACUCCGUAUACAUUAAUUAUGUUUCAUAAAUUCUUUUAAAAUGUUUUAGUUUAAGAUGACAUUGUGUUCUGUCCUUCGUUCGAAUUGUUCUUCUUUGACACAUUCCUCCUUUCCUGACUCAAUUUCAUAAGCCAGAUUUGGCACAACUUAUUUGAAACCUUUGACUUUCUACUUUCAGAUUUAUUUCACCUUUCAGUGUUAAGAUUCAAAUGCCACUUUAGAGCCAAGUGUCGUCCAAACCGUCAGCUGGUGUACUGCAUUGGAAUCAUGAUUUUGAUUUUAACAUAAUUUGGUGUACUUUGUUGUUGUUAACUAAAAACAAAAGUUUGUUUCUAUAUAAAACUUCGUGGACA